AACAAAACAAAAAUUGCCAGAAAUCUUGUUAAAAUUGAAAAACACGCAAAGAAAUGGCCCAGACAAACAUUUCAAUGGAACCAAAGGCCGACUUAGUUAUCAAUAAAAAUUGUCGUGUAAAGAAUAUGAUGAUAUGUAUUUAUAUAAGACUGCGACAUAUUGCGCCACAGAAUCGUUAUACCCUAUCAGAAGAGCAUUAAUGCUUGCAGACUUAACUGCCGACGCGUUAAAAGAAGGGCUUUAAGCAAAAGCUACAUACAUAUAUAGUAUUUAUAUAUACAUAUAUACAUAUAUACAUAUAUAUUAUAAAUAUAAAUAUGUAUGCCUAAAAGAACCAGCGAAAGAGUGGCCAAAAAACGCGCCGAAAAAUGAGUUUUAAUAUAAUAAAAUUUGUACAAUAUACAAAAGUUGAAGCAUGAAAAGAACAAAGCGCAUUAAGCUCGCAGUCAAGUUAAGAGCCAAAGACUUUGCCUCAGUCUACGCCUCGGUCUCAGCCUCAGCCACAGCCUCAGCAUCCAUCUCUCUUCUCUUGUUCUUCUCAGCUCCAGAUCGUAGACGGUCCAUGGCAUGAGUCAAUAUAUAUGUAUAUACUAUAUUGUAUCUGAGGGUUAUUAAUGUUUCGCUGUACAAGAAAAUUAUAUGGCCGCAGGGCAAGUCGAGGCACAUGAACA